UACGAAGGGUGCAAGCGUUGUUCGGAUUUAUUGGGCGUAAAGCGCGCGCAGGCGGAAAAGUAAGCCAGGUGUGAAAUCUCGGGGCUCAACCUCGAAACUGCGCCUGGAACUGUUUUUCUAGAAUCUCAGAGGGGGAUGGGGAAUUUCACGUGUAGGGGUAAAAUCCGUAGAGAUGUGAAGGAACACCGGAGGCGAAGGCGCCGUCCUGGAUGAGUAUUGACGCUGAGGCGCGAAAGCGUGGGGAGCAAACAGG
rnacentral:rRNA from 1 species